rnacentral:tRNA from 1 species
GGGGGUAUAGCUCAGUUGGUAGAGCGUCCGCUUUGCACGCGGAAGGUCAGCGGUUCGACUCCGCUUACCUCCACCA